GAUGAACGCUAGCUACAGGCUUAACACAUGCAAGUCGAGGGGUAACGAGAGGAAAGCUUGCUUUCCUUGUCGACGACCGGCGCACGGGUGAGUAACGCGUAUCCAACCUGCCCCCAACUAGGGAAUAACCUUGCGAAAGUAAGACUAAUACCCUAUAAUUUCCUCAGAUGUCAUCUGACGAGGAAUAAAGAUUUAUCGGUUGUGGAUGGGGAUGCGUCUGAUUAGCUUGUUGGCGGGGUAACGGCCCACCAAGGCAACGAUCAGUAGGGGUUCUGAGAGGAAGGUCCCCCACAUUGGAACUGAGACACGGUCCAAACUCCUACGGGAGACAGCUGUGAGGAAUAUUGGUCAGUGGGCGGAAGCCUGAACCAGCCAAGUAGCGUGCAGGAUGACGGCCCUAUGGGUUGUAAACUGCUUUUAUACAGGAAUAAAGUUAGCCACGUGUGGUUAUUUGUAGGUACUGUAUGAAUAAGGACCGGCUAAUUCCGUGCCAGCCGCCGCCGUAA
rnacentral:rRNA from 1 species